rnacentral:rRNA from 1 species
GAUGAACGCUGGCGGCGUGCCUAAUACAUGCAAGUCGAACGGUGAUAGUAAUAUCAUAGUGGCGACCGGGUGCGUAACACGUAGCUAACCUGCCCUCUCGCGGGGGACAACUGUUGGAAACGACAGCUAAUACCGCAUGACAUCUCAGGGAACAAAUACUUGAGAUUAAACUUACGGGGCGAGAGGAGGGGGCUGCGGCCCAUCAGGUAGUUGGUGAGGUAAAAGCUCACCAAGCCGACGACGGGUAGGGGGCCUGAGAGGGUGGUCCCC